AAUUAUCUGGUAACACUAGCGGUUUUUUUUCCCGCGGAAACUGAUAACGUGACUCUAAAUGUUGCCGCGAAAGAUGCUUCUGGGACGCCAUAUUGGUUUUUUGGUUCGUGCCGAAGGUUGAUGUCUAAUUCCCUAAUGGCCCAAUUUAAUUUAAAGGGAAAUAAAGGGAGGCGGUCCAUAAUGGACUUAGAAAUUUACAAAGUUGUCCGAGAUAGUGUAAUGAUCAGUCAGCCGAGCUGCAAUGAAGCCGAGAUAAUAACAGCAGUUUCGGCUCAUCUAAAAUAUGUGCCGGACAGAAGAGGGACCAAUUAAGUACAUGUACAGUUUAAAUUUGUUUAUUACAUGUCAUAUUUUAUUAUAAUCUUUAUAAGCCAUUUUAAGUUCUUUUAUCAUCCAUUUAAUUUUAUUUUAUUUUCUAUGUGUGAUGUCCACAAAAUGUUAACUGCGCCAUUGAGCAUUGAGUGUUUUAUAUUGGUAAUAGGCGCAUUAUAAAUAAUAAAUUAUUAUUAUUAUUACAGUACCAAUUGCAUUAAAAUUACUUUCUCAUUUUUAGCAAUAUCAUUCAUUACCCAUUACAUUGAAAGUAAAUAAUUACAUUUUAUUACUAUUUAAAGAUUAGUGCUAAUUUAGCAUUUAAUCAAUCAGAUUUAAAGACAUGCAUACCAUUGGAUAGUUC